AUGUCCCGCUUCGUGCGGCGCCUCGCCGGCAUCCCGUGGCGCCAGAUCGCCGGGGAGGCCUUCUCCGUCGGCCUGCUAACGGCGCAGGGCCUCUGCGCCGUCCACGUCGUCAGCGAGCACGUCCUCGGCGUCGCCUUCCCGCGGGGCCCCAGCAUGCUGCCGGCGCUCAACAUGGCGGGGGACGUGCUGCUGACCGACAAGGUGAGCCCGCGGCGCGGGUGGGUGGGGCCGGGGGACGUCGUGCUCCUCCUCUCGCCGGAGGACCCGCGCAAGAUCGUCGCCAAGCGCGUGCUCGGGAUGGAGGGCGACGAGGUCACCUACCCCGUCGACGCCGGCAACAGCGAUGCCACCAAGACCGUCGUGGUACCACAAGGUCAUAUUUGGGUGCAGGGUGACAAUAUCUAUUCAUCUAAUGACUCGAGGCAGUUCGGACCGGUGCCUUACGGUCUCGUAAAAGGGAAGAUGUCCUAUCGGAUUUGGCCACCGUCAAGGAUUGGUGCAAUUGAUUCAAAAGAGUAG
rnacentral:rRNA from 1 species